GAUGAACGCUGGCGGCGUGCCUAAUACAUGCAAGUCGAGCGAACAGACGAGGAGCUUGCUCCUCUGACGUUAGCGGCGGACGGGUGAGUAACACGUGGAUAACCUACCUAUAAGACUGGGAUAACUUCGGGAAACCGGAGCUAAUACCGGAUAAUAUAUUGAACCGCAUGGUUCAAUAGUGAAAGACGGUUUUGCUGUCACUUAUAGAUGGAUCCGCGCCGCAUUAGCUAGUUGGUAAGGUAACGGGUUACCAAGGCAACGAUGCGUAGCCGACCUGAGAGGGUGAUCGGCCACACUGGAACUGAGACACGGUCCAGACGCCUACGGGAGGCAGCAGUAGGGAAUCUUCCGCAAUGGGCGAAAGCCUGACGGAGCAACGCCGCGUGAGUGAUGAAGGUCUUCGGAUCGUAAAACUCUGUUAUUAGGGAAGAACAAAUGUGUAAGUAACUAUGCACGUCUUGACGGUACCUAAUCAGAAAGCCACGGCUAACUACGUG
rnacentral:rRNA from 1 species